rnacentral:ncRNA from 1 species
CGACGGUUCGUCCCCAGGGACGAUGAAAAGGGAACGGGGUGUGAAUCCCCGACAGACCCGCUGCUGUAUUUCUCGAAUUACCGUUACCAACAAGUCACUGACCCCGGGCAAGAGAGCCGCAAGGUCGGGAAGACGGUUUCGGAAUGAGAUAAGCCAGAAGACCUGCCGUCAUAAUU